UUUCUCUGUAAAACAUCAUGGAAAAAUUCGAUAGUUUUUUCGAAAGCCUUAACAUUUCAGAAUCAUCGUUGCAGAAUAUAAAAAAGAAAACAGCUGUGUAUACAUUCGUAAUACCAUACCUGUUCUAUACAACACUCAAAUUCCAAGAAAAACGCGCUAAAAUUGUCAAUAUUUCAUGCAAAAAAAGAAAUUUGAAAAACCGUUGGAAAUUUUGAAGUUCAUAUAUAUUAAUAAAAACACAAUCAUGUCAGCAGAAGAUGACAUACUCCUCGCGGAAGCAUCGCGCCAGUACUAAUAGCCGACCGUAGAAAAUAGUAAAAAUUACCUUAUGUGUACUAUAAGAACAAAGUAUCGAUAACUAUGUGUGACGUUUCUAAGGGGCGGGGUGAUCUCCAGAGGAACGUCCAUAUGACGUUUCUCAUGGACAAAAUCGAUAUGUGAGGCUUCCUUAAGUACGAAAUUUUUGAGUACCUGUUGAACUGAGGAAGAUAAGGCAAGUUUAUGUACUUGAUACUUUUGAGAAUACAAAAUGUGGAAGCUACUGUGGAAGCUCAAGAAACAAGAUACUCAACACAUAUUAGUUGCUUGUACUAGGAGUUUAAACUUUUGCCUUUGUUUAUGCGAUAUAAAGAAAGCACCUUUUAGUUUAAUCACUUGCCUCACUUUGUAAUGACGUUAUAUUCUCACACUUAUGUCGGUCUGCAGUAAAUUUCUUGUUUUGUCCCCCCCCCCUCUUCCGUAUCCGUGCCAUCCGUACCCGUGUUUUAUCCCAAC